UACACUGUAGAAUAGGCUUGUG
rnacentral:miRNA from 1 species